GGGACUCAGACCUGGAUGCUGUAACGGAAGCCUGCCUGCCCUACCUCGGCUGCAGACAGCCACCCAAACUGCAAGAGACAUGUCUCAGCCUGUGGAGCUGAGUGGGAUGGGCCUUAAGAAGACCGAGUACACAGACAACAUCCUGAAACUCUUGGGAGGAUUUUGGGUUACCUCUGGACACACAGCCAGCAGCAAUAGAGAUCCAGUGAUCUGCACCAAUAAACAGUUCCCCAGUCAUCCACCCGACUGUCCCCAGGCGGAGGAAGGAACACUACACUGACGACAGCCACAGCACAGCACAGCGUGUCCUAGUCUUCCCCAACCUCUUUUCAACAUCCUAUAGUUUAACAGUGACUUUGAAACACAUGUUAAGUGCUGAUUCUGUGCAAGUGGUGUGUUGGGUAAAGGUGUACAUAUUCCAAUGUGCUCACAAGGGAUGGACUAAAGGCCAGUAUUUUGAAUGUUAAAGUAGUAAUUAAUAGUCUUUAUUAUAAUAGAUUUUUUUUUAAUGCCUGACCUUCAUUGUAACUGCUUAGCCUUUUAUACAAGUAGAUAUAGCAAUCAAUGUCAAUUUUGACCUUUUCCACCAUAAGUAGAAUGACAGAGCUUUCAUUUUUCCUUCCAUUCCAGCUUCAAAUUCACAUCUUGGUUCCAUUCCUCUAAUAACCAGACGUCAUGGUCAUUCCACACAAACCUCCCAUUGAUUCACACAGAAUAGAUCUGCUACUUGCUGCACAAAUGCCUGAUUGAAAGUUGUAGCAUGAUUUUGAAUACAACUUGAACUCCCCUGAGGGUUCAAGUGUAGGUUACAGCCCGGGCUUGUUUGUCAAGUCUUGUUUAGACUGAGGGGUCUGGAAGAAUCUCUGUGACAUCAUAAUGAAUGUGCGUGCCGGGGAAAUGGGAACAGGGUUGCCACGUGUUUUGCGUUGGCGAGGGAGCACUUUAUCUCCUCCGUACUUUGCUAUUUAUCCUGCUGAAAAUAGCGUCAUUACUCAUCAACCAUGGAGGGCCUGUCUGGCAGCCCAUAAAAACACAGCCAGGGAUAGGAUAAUGCGCUAUCCCCAAAACCAGGCUUUUUAUUCUGUUAAUCAUCAAAUCAUCUGACACAAGCAUGGCUUGACUGAUUAGGCAGGCACUGCUUGGCACACCAAUGGAUAGAUAAUACAGUUCUGAGAAAAUGACAUACUGUAAGACCGAAUGUGUUGAUUGUUGCUCAGGAUACAUGGGCGUGAGGAAGGAGACUGGUGAGAAAAUGACAUACUGUAAGACCGAAUGUGUUGAUUGUUGCUCAGGCUACAUGGGCGUGAGGAAGGAGACUGGCGAGAGAAUGUGCGACUGCCUUAUGAGGUAACUGUGAUGGAGUAUUCUGAAUUUUAAUAAUACAAAUCAGUGUGUGUUCACAUAUGAAUGAUAGCAAGGUCAGACGUCGACUUUUCAGGAAUGUAAUACAAACAUUUUCGAUCUAUCAUCGUCUCAAGGGCUUACAUAUUACAGGUACUGAAUUAUUAAAUAUAUUCUGAAGGCUGAUCACAUUCAAGUCACAAUAGAUAGGUUCAUGUACACUUUAUUUAAUUUGAUGAAGGCAUAAAUUUAGUGCGAGACCAACAUCCUAGAAGACAUUCUAAAAUGUACAACAUUUUUACAAUGAUUUCUUACAAAACAUCAAAGCAAAGGUUAGAGCAAGAAACAAUUCCAUUAUCCAUCAGGUCUUUCUCACAGCCACAUUAUCUGUUGGGAAAGCACAAAACACAAUGAACAGGUUUUACUUUAUAAACAUUGGUUUCCAUCCAGCUCUGGUUGGAUGGAAAUCUGGAUUUACCAUGGAGAAACAGCGAAUGAACUGCUCAGAAAACAAACCCAAAUGAAUAAAGCAACAAGUAACCCUUCCAGCUUAUACGUCCUCUUAGAUGAUUGAAAAAGUUAGUAAGAAAACAUGUUAAACAUGCACUCUUUAUCAUUAUAUACAGUAACAUGUACAGUGUAGACAAUCUAGAGCAGGGAUGGGCAACUGGCAGAUCAAACCCAAAACAAUGUAUUGAAAUAAAUAGGAACUCAUUUGGGGGAAUUGACUGUUGAGAGUUAGGUUGUGCAUCAGCCGUCUUUAUCUUAUGUCAGUCACUGAAACUCACUCAAUUAGCUACACAUUUUUAGAUUAGUUUAUGAGUCUAGCCAGCAAUCUAAACAUAGUAAUCAUGGCCCCACCAUCAAUUAUUUUUUUUGUCACUCUCACUCAGAUACAUUAACAUGACAUAAGUCAGAACACAAUGUGUAGAAUUGCAGGAAAUUAGCUUAAACACGGCUAAUAUGUCUCCACCCCAUGGCUAAAUAAGUAAAAUUGCAGGAAAGUAACUAAAACAAACCAAAAAUUCUCUCCAUUGUUAAAAGUGGGGGAUGCUAAAAUGUUUUGCUCGCAGGGUGGGGGGCCCCCCAACAAAAUGUA